CGAAAGCGAGUUUUAACUGAGCGUUCAGUUACUUGACGUAGACCCGAAACCGGGCGACCUACCCAUGAGCAGGAUGAAGCGAAAGUAAAAUUUCGUGGAGGUCCGAACCCACGAGCGUUGAAAAGCUCGGGGAUGACUUGUGGGUAGCGGUGAAAUUCCAAUCGAGCCCGGAGAUAGCUGGUUCUCCCCGAAAUAGCUUUAGGGCUAGCCUCAAGGUGAGAGAUACGGAGGUAGAGCACUGAAUGUCCUAGGGGGUAUUGCACCUACCGAAGACUAUCAAACUCCGAAUGCCGUCAUCUUAUACUUGGGAGUCAGACUGUGGGUGAUAAGAUUCAUAGUCGAAAGGGCAACAGCCCAGAUCGUCAGCUAAGGUCCCUAAAUGUAAGUUAAGUGGUAAAGGAUGUGGGAUUGCACAGACAACCAGGAUGUUGGCUUAGAAGCAGCCACUCAUUCAAAGAGUGCGUAAUAGCUCACUGGUCGAGUGAUCCUGCGCCGAAGAUUUCCGGGGCUAAAACUUACUACCGAAGCUACGGCAUCAGUAAUGAUGGGUAGGGGAGCUUCCCAUACGGGUUGAAGCAUGACCGUAAGGACAUGUGGACAGUAUGGGAGUGAGAAUGUUGGCAUGAGUAGCGAGAUGUGGGUGAGAAUCCCACAGGCCGUAAACCCAAGGUUUCCAGGGGAAGGUUCGUCCGCCCUGGGUUAGUCGGGACCUAAGCUGAGGCCGAAAGGCGUAGGUGAUGGACAACAGGUUGAU
rnacentral:rRNA from 1 species